GCGGAUAUAGUUUAGUGGUAAAAUCCUAGCCUUCCAAGCUAAUGAUGCGGGUUCGAUUCCCGCUACCCACC
rnacentral:tRNA from 1 species